UUCUGUGUCUCCCUCUCUCUCUCUCUCUCUGCCCCUCCCCCACUUGCACUCUGUCUCUGUCUCUGUCUCUCUCUCUCUCUCUCAAAAAUAAACAUUAAAAAAAAUAAAAAUAUUAGUGACUGUGGAUCAACUCAUGCCAAGUGCCAAAUGGAAGGCAGGUGCUGUGGGAGGAGGGAGGAGGGAGGAGGGAGCUGACUGGGCUCCCAGGUGGUCAAGGAGAUUCCUAGGGUAGGUGGAAUCCCAGUAGGGUUGGGAGAUUUCAGAGAGAGAAAUGGGAAAGGCACUAGAGCUGGGCCCUAAUCAUACCCAUUUAGGGGUCCCCAUGCUUAGCAGAGAGCCUGCCUCUAGCAGGGGAUGAUAUGUGCUUGCGGAGUGAAUAAAUGUUGGAUCCAAUGAAAAUAGAGCACACAUGGCUGAGAGGCAAGGUGUGGCUGAGGGACUGUGGAGUAUGGGGGUGGCUGGCCACUGAACCUCUAACAGCCCACCAAGUGCAGUUCAGUUGACUGUGACCCCACCAACCAGACUGACAUUCUUCAGUUUUCAGCUUUCCAUUUUUUCCAGGACCAAACACAUCCUGGGAAACAUCUGCUGGAGCAGUGAGUAGACGGUGUAAGGGAGCAGCCGGAGGAAACGUGGGAGAAAUCUGCUAGGAGCAGACGGAGGAAGCCUUGAGUUCCAGGCCAAAAAGUUUAGCCUUUUCCUCUGGGCAAGUGGUGGCCAUUGGGAUCUCUGAACAUUCAAAUAGCAGGAGUCUCUAGUUUUCCUACAACGAACAUGUACUACCUUUGUAAUAAGCAAGAAACCCAAUAAGAUUUAUUGGAUAAAAGAAUAAACAGCUGGAAAUCAUUCUCUCCUGAGGAAUUAGCAUCUUGUCUGACGACAAGGGCUACCGUUGCUUUGCUGGAACCUUCCAUCUAUCUCUCAGGAUCUGCUCUCAGCCAACGGGGAGACGAUGCAGAUGGAGGAAACAAUGCCUAAAAUGAUUGAGCCAUGAGUCCAGAACAGACGAGGAGCCACAACCCAAGCCCAGCUGAUCGUUUGCCAACCCCCACAGGCUUCCGUUUUGCACAGGACCUUAUGCUGGCUCUGCCCAGUUGUCCUAUCGCCACCUUCCCCACCCGCUCUCUUCUCUCUUCCCUGCCAACGAAAAUAUAAUGAGGCCAUAUAUGUAAUUUUACGUUUUCUAGUAGCCACAUUAAAAAGCAAGUGAAAACAGGUGAAA